GAUGAACGCUGGCGGCGUGCCUAAUACAUGCAAGUCGAGCGAACAGACGAGGAGCUUGCUCCUCUGACGUUAGCGGCGGACGGGUGAGUAACACGUGGAUAACCUACCUAUAAGACUGGGAUAACUUCGGGAAACCGGAGCUAAUACCGGAUAAUAUAUUGAACCGCAUGGUUCAAUAGUGAAAGACGGUUUUGCUGUCACUUAUAGAUGGAUCCGAGCCGCAUUAGCUAGUUGGUAAGGUAACGGCUUACCAAGGCAACGAUGGGUAGCCGACCUGAGAGGGUGAUCGGCCACACUGGAACUGAGACACGGUCCAGACUCCUACGGGAGGCAGCAGUAGGGAAUCUUCCGCAAUGGGCGAAAGCCUGACGGAGCACCGCCGCGUGAGUGAUGAAGGUCUUCGGAUCGUAAAACUCUGUUAUUAGGGAAGAACAAAUGUGUAAGUAACUAUGCACGUCUUGACGGUACCUAAUCAGAAAGCCACGGCUAACUACGUG
rnacentral:rRNA from 1 species